CAGCAGCCGCGGUAAUACAGAGGAUGCAAGCGUUAUCCGGAAUGAUUGGGCGUAAGGCGUGCGCAGGCGGUUAUGUAAGACAGUUGUGAAAUCCCCGGGCUCAACCUGGGAACUGCAUCUGUGACUGCAUAGCUAGAGUACGGUAGAGGGGGAUGGAAUUCCGCGUGUAGCAGUGAAAUGCGUAGAUAUGCGGAGGAACACCGAUGGCGAAGGCAAUCCCCUGGACCUGUACUGACGCUCAUGCACGAAGGCGUGGGGAGCAAACAGGAUUAGAUACCCCUGUAGUCCCUGUCUCUUAUAC
rnacentral:rRNA from 1 species